rnacentral:misc_RNA from 1 species
GAAAUGCGAUACGUAGUGUGAAUUGCAGAAUUCCGUGAACCAUCGAAUCUUUGAACGCAAAUUGCGCCCAAGGCUUCGGCCGAGGGCAUGUCUGCCUCAGCGUCGGCACACCCCCUCGUCCCCCACCUCGGUGUUGGACGGACCUGGCCUUCUCGGCUUGCUCCUCUUCGGAGAGCUUGCCGGGUGGGCUGAAGCGAAGAGGCUUGAGCAGCGACCCCGAUUGUAGGGCGACGGCUUGGUAGGUAGGUUUCCUACACAUCCACCGCCGCCGCCCAAGGGGCUCCUGCUGGGAGCCAUUUGGCUGGGUUACACCGCCACUCUUUAAUUUUCGACCUGAGCUCAGGCAAGGCUACCCGCUGAACUUAA